rnacentral:rRNA from 1 species
AUCUAAGUAGGGCGAGGAAGAGAAAUCAACCGAGAUUCUGUGAGUAGUGGCGAGCGAAAGCGGAAGAGGCUAAACCAUAGGUAGCAAUACUUAUGGGGUUUCGGACAGCAUUUAGUAUUGAUAAUUUCUAGUUGAAACGUGUGGGAAAACGUACCGAAGAGUGUGAGAGUCACGUAAGCGAAAGAGAAAGUCAGCGAGCUGUAUCCAAAGUACCGCGGGACACGUGAAACCCCGUGGGAAGAUGGGGGGACCAUCCUCCAAGCCUAAAUACUACCUAAUGACCGAUAGCGAAUAGUACUGUGAAGGAACGGUGAAAAGAACCCCGGGAGGGGAGUGAAAAAGAACCUGAAACCCUAUGCUUACAAGCACCGAGAGCACGUCAAAGUGUGAUCGGGUACCUUUUGUAGAAUGGUCCGGCGAGUUAUUGUAUGCGGCAAGGUUAAGUGCUUAAGGCACGGAGCCGAAGCGAGAGCAAGUCUGAAUAGGGCGAAAAAGUCGUAUGCAAUAGACCCGAAACCGAGUGACCUAUCCAUGUCCAGGCUGAAGUGGAGGUAAAACUCUAUGGAGGGCCGAACACACGUCCGUUGAAAAGGCCGGUGAUGAGGUGUGGAUAGCGGAGAAAUUCCAAUCGAACUCGGAUAUAGCUGGUUCUCUCCGAAAUAGCUUUAGGGCUAGCCUCGUGAAAGAUUACUGGAGGUAAAGCACUGAAUGGGCUAGGGGUCGAAAGAUUACUGAACCCUAUCAAACUAAGAAUGCCAGAUAAUUGAUUCACGGGAGUCAGACAAUGUGAGAUAAGUCUCAUUGUCAAAAGGGAAACAGCCCAGACCCACAGCUAAGGUCCCUAAACAUUGUUAAGUGGAAAAGGAUGUGGGGUUGCAUAAACAACCAGGAUGUUGGCUUAGAAGCAGCCACUCAUUAAAAGAGUGCGUAAUAGCUCACUGGUCGAGUGACCCUGCGCCGAAAAUUCAACGGGGCUAAACAAUGUACCGAAGCUUGGGAUUCUAAAGUAAUUUAGAGUGGUAGGAGAGCGUCGAAUAAGGGGUGAAGUCAGAGCGGAAGCGCUGGUGGACUUUAUUCGAGUGAGAAUGCCGGAAUGAGUAGCGAGAAUUAUGUGAGAAUCAUAAUGGCCGAAAAUCUAAGGUUUCCUGAGGAAGGUUCGUCCGCUCAGGGUAAGCCGGGGGCUAAGGCGAGGCGGAGACGCGUAGCCGAUGCACAUACGGUUGAAAUUCCGUAGCCACCGAAAGAUUUAAAUACAGGGACGCUUUAGAAGUGAUGUUGCCGGGCGAUGGUUGACCUGGUCGUAAGGGAUCGAAAAUGAGUAGAGAAGUCAUCAUGGAAAGAGACAAGAAAAGCUGUAUGAAUAUCUUAGGUGCCCGUACCGCAAACCGACACAGGUAGAUAGGAAGAAGAUUCUAAGGCCAACGGGAGAAGGGUUGUUAAGGAACUCGGCAAGUUGACCCCGUAACUUAGGGAUAAGGGGUGCUCAAGUGAUUGAGCCGCAGAGAAUAGGCCCAGGCGACUGUUUAGCAAAAACACAGGUCUCUGCUAAAUCGAAAGAUGACGUAUAGGGGCUGACACCUGCCCGGUGCCGGAAGGUUAAGAGGAGAUGUGAGAGCAUUGAAUUGAAGCCCCGGUAAACGGCGGCCGUAACUAUAACGGUCCUAAGGUAGCGAAAUUCCUUGUCAGGUAAGUUCUGACCCGCACGAAAGGUGUAACGAUCUGGGCACUGUCUCAACAACCCGCCCGGCGAAAUUGUAGUACCGGUGAAGAUGCCGGUUACCCGCGACUAGACGGAAAGACCCCAUGGAGCUUUACUGUAGCCUAAUAUUGGAUUUCGGUAUUUCACGUACAGGAUAGGUGGGAGACUGGGAAGCACAGGCGUCAGCUUGUGUGGAGUCGACCUUGGGAUACCACUCUUGGAGUGCUGGAAUUCUAACCUGCGGCUUUGAAGCAAGUCGGGGGACAUUGUUAGGUGGGCAGUUUGACUGGGGCGGUCGCCUCCUAAAGAGUA